GGGUAAUUUUUUAUAAACCCUCCACUCUAAGAUUUUAUAGGUCCUAGUCCAAGUCAUAAGUCCUAUUUUUCUAAACCCCCCUAUUAAUUUUUUUGGCUGAUUUGCCCUUUGCAAUAAAAUAGGAAAAUUUCUUUUAAAAAUAAUUAUUCACCAAAUCAGAUUUUUUAGCUAAAAAAGAGGCAAAGAAAUCUCGUGAGAUUGAAACUGCAAAAUUUUACCUCUCAUCAUUUCUUUUAAUUUAUCCAAUAGCCCUAAUUCUCAAAUCGACAAAAAUUGCUGUAUAUCUUCACACCGCCAUCGAAGGGAGAAACUGCCUCGUUCUCUUUCAAUUUACUCACUUCUCGUUCUCUUUCAAUUUACCCAAUAGGCCUACUUCUCAGAUCGACGGAGAACUGUAAUUCUGCAAACUGCCACGGAAGAGAAAGAUCUGCAAAUCUCGUCAAAUUGAAACAUGCAAAAACUCUCCUCCAUUUCGUUCAACCAAAACUCUGUAAUCAUAGCACCUUAUUGCUGAGAUUGAUGUAGGUUUUGAAUCCGAGAAGAUGGCGCAAAAUCGGAAACGUACAGUCAAAGACAGAGAUUUGGAGCCUACGACCCCAGGCCAGAAGAAAACAAACAAGAGAUUCAUUAGAGGUUGAUGCUACUGACACGAUCAUGUUUCUAGAAGAUCCUCGAUUACGUUUGGAAGUUGUGAAUUCAGUCGGACGUCGAGACUAUGUCCGUUAUGACAUCAACCCAGCCAUAAUCAGUUAUGAUAGAUUGUAGUUUGUUUAUAGACUAUAUUGCAACACUGCUUGUAUCUAUUGAUUUGUAUCUUACAAGAUUUUGUAUUUAAUGUACUUCUUUAUUCCUAAAUAAAAAUGGUUUGUUGGUUUGU